rnacentral:piRNA from 1 species
UAUAAAGGUGUCUCAGCAAAGGAGCUUCUCC